rnacentral:snRNA from 1 species
AUACUUACCUGGCAGGGGAGACACCAUGAUCAAGAAGGCGGUUCACCCAGGGCGAGGCUUGUCCAUUGCACUCCGGCCAUGCUGACCCCUGUGAAUUCCCCAGAUAUGAGAAUCUCGACUGCAUAAUUUAUGGUAGUGGGAGACUGCGUUGGUGCUCUCCCCUG